CACCUGAUGCUGAGGCUGGAGCCAGCCUUUUCCACCGCGUGGUAGCUUGUGUGCAGCAGGCGGCUGGCCUGCUCUGAGCCCUCGCCCUGCAGCCAGUGCCCAUACAGCUCCUGGACCCCAGGCGCAUCCUCUGGUGCCUCGGUCCUGACCAUGCUGUAUAGCCUCUCAACCUGCUGGAGAAGCUCCUUGCCAGGCAUGUCAGGGGCCUUGAGCUGGCCUCCACCAUUCAAGCAGCCUGUAGCAGAGAAGGACAGGCAGAAGUGUGGUCAAGGGGAGGGUGUCAGCACACGGGGUCCCAGAGGGCCCACUCUGUCUGCAGCUACCUGAAGGGCAGGCCAUGACCUCCACAUAGUGGUAUGGGCAGCGGCCUCGCUUGAGCUUUUGCACCAGGUUCUGGAUGUUGCGGAAGCCGUAGGCCGCGGCGAAGUGCAGCAGGACCCGGCCCUCCCUCUCCAGAGUCACCUCCUGGAGGUCCUUGUUCCUGAGGGGACACAGACCAGGCUGUCCACACGGCACGCCCAGGCUUCCUCCCAGAAUGGGAACCCCACCUUCCCAAGGUCUGACAAAGGCCCCAGCCCGCCCUCCCUGGAAUGGGGACUCACAUUGGGACACACCCUGUGCCAGGAAAACCGUCCUGCCACCAUGGGCCUCUGGGGCCCUGGGUCACCGUGCUGUGGGUAGCGGACACUGAGCCCUAUGAUGAGGAGACCAAGGGCUGGAGAGCUCUGGCCCCUUCACAUGAGCCAGAGGGGAGGGCCCAGCUCCUGCCUGGUGCCCCGAAAGGCUGCCCUGCCCCAAGCUCCAGCCCUUCCCACUGACCUCAGGGGUCUGUAGGUGACUUCAGUGACGUGGAUUCCAAAGAGCUCCUGGGCUGCAUGCCGGAACACGUGCUCCAGGCCGUCUCGUGAACUCAACCACCUCUGGACACCAACACAUACCACGGGGCAGACGCAAAACCAACCAGAAGGAAGCUGAGGCAGAGAAGAAGGGGGAGGACAGUGCCUGCCCCCGCCUCGUCCCUUCUGCUGCCCACCAGGACAUCAGUGACCCCAAGGUCAAGAGCACCCCAAUGCUGGACGAGCUUACUGCCCCUGACAUGGCAGGCGCGACGUACAGACUGUCCAGGGUAGCCGGCUCCAGCUCUGACAGCGAGACCCCUUCUUCUUCCAGCAGCUUGAAGACUUCUCCUACGAUGAGACCACAGCACAGACAGACGCUCUUCAGCUGAAUCUCAACAAAAACAGAGACCAUGAAAGAUCCCCACCACCUGCAUCCCUAGCAACCUGUGAGUGGCCAGACGUCCAGCCCCUGCUCGUGAGUGGAGGAUGAACCCAGCCAGAGGCAACUCCACUUCUGAAGGGCCUCCCGGUGCUGCGGUGGGGCAGACGCGCCUGACCCUGGGGUGCCUCACAAUGCGCCUGGAGUGGGCAGGGCACCGCGUCCCUGGACAGCGACCCUCCCCGGAUUGUCUGCCUCCCGGGUGGGCAUUCAUUUCUCUUUUAAGCAUUUGGGAGCCUCUGCAAGGCUGCUCAACUCACAGACGGGGUGACCAACAUGAGCCAGGGGGGUUGUGCUGGGCCUGACGCUGGGGACACAGCGCCAGCAGGCUCGGGGCCCCGUACCUGUUGUGAUGACACAAUCCACAUCGCGUGUCUGGUGCUCUUGGCUGAAGAAGUCGGGUCUGGAGGCUUCCAGCUUUUUGUCGUAGCAGGGCAUCACCGUCACGUGGUAGAUCUUGUCGGGGGUCAAAUGCUGCGUGGAGAACACGGCAGUGGUGCAGCUGCCUGGCCCCAGCAGCAAAGGCUGAGGCGGAGGUGACAGCACAGGCACGGCUGGGAGCACAGUUCUGCGUGUGGGUCCAUGACCACUGCAGUCUUGGCUCAUUUUGUAAGAUGUCCCUGUUACCUGCUGCUGGGAGAAGAAGUCCUUGACCAGGGAGCCCAUGACCUGCUGCGGGGACCGGGCGGUGCUGAUGUGGGGGAGGAGGACGUUCCCGUGGGUCUUCUCGGCGUAGCAGAUCCAGCCUGAGGCCGACACAGGGUGGGG